UAGGUGUUCUGCUAAAAAGACUCUGGCUUGUAUUAGUCAUGGCGCUUAAUCCAGAUGGAGUUAACAAUGGGUUAGGUCUGGUGUAAGGAGAGCAAGGUACCAGAAUUUUUCCACGAAGUGAACCUGUUUUAAAACUCAUCAAGAUUUAGAGAUAAAGGUAUUUUCUAUUUAUCUUUGAUGAGAAUGAAAACAAAAUAAUUGUAAAUGAAAACUUGUCUAUAGAAACUAACCUUGAUUCUUACUGUUCUGUUUUGCAGAUGAAGAUGUAUUAGCAUCAACAGAGUUCUCAAUGGGGCUAACUUGUGGGUCUGGAAGGUUAGUAAUAUCUCUAAAAGCACUACCAAACGCUGUACUAAGAGGGACAGAACCAUUCCUGAGUAUAGGUAGAUUAAACUGAGAAAUGUUCCUUAGUCUAGUGUAAGGCUCAUUUCCUCGAUUACGUUUUGGUGGAUUAGACUCAGGAACAUCAUUUUCUGUUGGAGAUAGAGGUUUUUUUUUCAUAUUUUAGUCUAAGAAUGUCUAUAGAUGAUUAGACUACUUGGUAACUAUAUAAAGGAGAUUAAGGUCUAAAUAGAAAGCAUUUUGAUAUCUGUAGAUUGACUAUUAUUGUUUAAUGAUUGUCUGUUGCCAAAGAUAUAGGAACUAAGAUAUGUUAUUUUCUAUAAGUAAUGAAUGAGAACCUUUAGAUAAUAUGCGGAAUAUACCAAACUAUAAGAUUGAUUCCGUGAUUAUAGUGAUUAUUGUUUUAAUUAUAAGAUUACUAACUAUAUUUUUUGUAUCAGGAAAGAGAGCAAUGAAAUAUUCUUGCUAUUCACAAUCAAUAGCACAUAAGGAAGAUGGACUAUUCAAAUAAG
rnacentral:lncRNA from 1 species